CCCCGGCUAACUCCGUGCCAGCAGCCGCGGUAAUACGGAGGGGGUUAGCGUUGUUCGGAAUUACUGGGCGUAAAGCGCACGUAGGCGGAUUAGAAAGUUAGAGGUGAAAUCCCGGGGCUCAACCCCGGAACUGCCUUUAAAACUGCUAGUCUAGAGUUCGAGAGAGGUGAGUGGAAUUCCGAGUGUAGAGGUGAAAUUCGUAGAUAUUCGGAGGAACACCAGUGGCGAAGGCGGCUCACUGGCUCGAUACUGACGCUGAGGUGCGAAAGUGUGGGGAGCAAACAGGAUUAGAUACCCUGGUAGUCCACACCGUAAACGAUGAAUGCCAGUCGUCGGGUAGUAUACUAUUCGGUGACACACCUAACGGAUUAAGCAUUCCGCCUGGGGAGUACGGUCGCAAGAUUAAAACUCAAAGGAUU
rnacentral:rRNA from 1 species